AACGAACGCUGGCGGCAUGCCUAACACAUGCAAGUCGAGCGAGACCUUCGGGUCUAGUGGCGCACGGGUGCGUAACGCGUGGGAACCUGCCCUUAGGUUCGGAAUAACUCCCCGAAAGGGGUGCUAAUACCGGAUAAUGUCUUCGGACCAAAGAUUUAUCGCCUUUGGAUGGGUCCGCGUUGGAUUAGCUAGUUGGUAGGGUAAAAGCCUACCAAGGCGACGAUCCAUAGCUGGUCUGAGAGGAUGAUCAGCCACACUGGGACUGAGACACGGCCCAGACUCCUACGGGAGGCAGCAGUGGGGAAUAUUGGACAAUGGGCGAAAGCCUGAUCCAGCAAUGCCGCGUGAGUGAUGAAGGCCUUAGGGUUGUAAAGCUCUUUUACCCGGGAUGAUAAUGACAGUACCGGGAGAAUAAGCUCCGGCUAACUCCGUG
rnacentral:rRNA from 1 species